GACGAACGCUGGCGGCGUGCUUAACACAUGCAAGUCGAACGGAAAGGCCCUGCUUUUGUGGGGUGCUCGAGUGGCGAACGGGUGAGUAACACGUGAGUAACCCGCCCUUGACUUUGGGAUAACUUUAGGAAACUGGGGCUAAUACCGGAUAGGAGCUCUUGCUGCAUGGUGGGGGUUGGAAAGUUUCGGCCGUUGGGGCUGGUCUCGCGGCUUAUCAGCUUGUUGGUGGGGUAGUGGCUUACCAAGGUUUCGACGGAUAGGCGGCCUGGGAGCGUUGACGGCCACCAUAGGACUACGGGACGGCCCAGAAUCCUACGGGCGGCAGCGGUGGAGAGUCUUGCGCAGUGAGCCGAAGCCUGAUACAGCGGCGCCCCGUGCGGGAUGACGGCCUACUAGUUGUGAACCGCUUUCGCCUGUAACAAGGCGUGAGUGACGGUAAUGAGUAAGAAAGCACCGGCUAACUACGUG
rnacentral:rRNA from 1 species